CCUCCUUUACGGCUCUUCACGACUCUCUCUGAUGACAAAGCAGCUGUUUGCCAUUUAAAGGUCGAAUGCCAGUAAUAGCGGGAUGGCAUUUUAUCAUCCGAAGAGCGCAAGCAGACGGGAGAUGAAAACUUGGAGGCUUGAGCCAAGUGCAAUCAAGUCCCUGGGUUGAGAAUCCGUGAAAAUAUGGAAUGUACCUUCAAUUAACCUCUCACAAAUACCUGGUCACCGGGACCGAUUCAUCUGAAGGUUGUUGCCUGGGCUAGCGAGCGUGUGCCUCCUGCCGAGAAGGAAGCAGCCUCUGAUCUUAUUCUCGCGUUCUUUCUGCUGUUGUAUUUACCUCCCUGGAUCAUUAACACGGGGCAGGAUUUGGCUUUGCAGAAAAAGGAGAGACCUUCCUUCCGCCGCGGAGGAAAUUCCAACCUACGCUACCCUGAUCUCGAUUACUCUUGGCACAGUGAUCCUGCAGUCGUUCGAGCCCAGCGUCUUGGCUAGAUACAGAACUGAAGCCUCAGAACAACGGCCUCCAAUCCCUUCACUUUGCAGUCUUCAUCCGAGGGUCUGCUUCUGGGAACGCCCAGCCUAAGACACCACCGUGUGGAAUUGCAGUCAGAAACCAACAGAGAUUCAAGGUCAAGGCAGUAUUUGCAGCAUCAAAAGGACCACGGUAACUGCCUUCUCGCUUCCCCUUGCCAUUGCCUCAAUCCCCAGUCUCAGGGAAUUUCAGUCCUUAUGGGGAUCUCUCCACCUUCCUGAGAUAUACACCCCGAAUUUGCCUGCUGUUGGGUCCACCCAGUCUCCUCUUGGAGCGUAUACUCCCUGAAGAGCUCGCUUCCUUUAAAAUGAAAUCUAAAUCAGAAUAGAAC
ensembl:lncRNA